GUCUGUGGCCAUGCCACCCUGAACACGCCCAAUCCCAUCUGAUCUUGGAAGCUAAGCAGGGUCAGGCCUGGUUAGUACUUGGAUGGGAGACCACCUAGGAAGACCAGGUGCUGUAGGCG
rnacentral:rRNA from 1 species